UACGGAGGGGGCUAGCGUUGUUCGGAAUUACUGGGCGUAAAGCGCACGUAGGCGGACUUGAAAGUCAGAGGUGAAAUCCCAGGGCUCAACCUUGGAACUGCCUUUGAAACUUCUGGUCUUGAGGUCGAGAGAGGUGAGUGGAAUUCCGAGUGUAGAGGUGAAAUUCGUAGAUAUUCGGAGGAACACCAGUGGCGAAGGCGGCUCACUGGCCCGAUACUGCCGCUGAGGCGCGAAAGCGUGGGGAGCAAACAGG
rnacentral:rRNA from 1 species